GCAAGUCGAACGGUAACGCGAAGAGCUUGCUCUUUGGCGACGAGUGGCGGACGGGUGAGUAAUACUUAGGAAUCUGCCCAGUAGCGGGGGACAACUCGGAGAAAUCCGAGCUAAUACCGCAUACGCCCUACGGGGGAAAGCAGGGGAUCUUCGGACCUUGCACUAUUGGAUGAGCCUAUGUCAGAUUAGCUUGUUGGUGGGGUAACGGCCUACCAAGGCUACGAUCCAUAGCUGGUCUGAGAGGAUGAUC
rnacentral:rRNA from 1 species